rnacentral:rRNA from 1 species
GGCCUUGCGCUAUCAGAUGAGCCUAGGUCGGAUUAGCUAGUUGGUGAGGUAAUGGCUCACCAAGGCGACGAUCCGUAACUGGUCUGAGAGGAUGAUCAGUCACACUGGAACUGAGACACGGUCCAGACUCCUACGGGAGGCAGCAGUGGGGAAUAUUGGACAAUGGGCGAAAGCCUGAUCCAGCCAUGCCGCGUGUGUGAAGAAGGUCUUCGGAUUGUAAAGCACUUUAAGUUGGGAGGAAGGGUUGUAGAUUAAUACUCUGCAAUUUUGACGUUACCGACAGAAUAAGCACCGGCUAACUCUGUGCCAGCAGCCGCGGUAAUACAGAGGGUGCAAGCGUUAAUCGGAAUUACUGGGCGUAAAGCGCGCGUAGGUGGUUCGUUAAGUUGGAUGUGAAAUCCCCGGGCUCAACCUGGGAACUGCAUUCAAAACUGUCGAGCUAGAGUAUGGUAGAGGGUGGUGGAAUUUCCUGUGUAGCGGUGAAAUGCGUAGAUAUAGGAAGGAACACCAGUGGCGAAGGCGACCACCUGGACUGAUACUGACACUGANGUGCGAAAGCGUGGGGAGCAAACAGGAUUAGAUACCCUGGUAGUCCACGCCGUAAACGAUGUCAACUAGCCGUUGGGAGCCUUGAGCUCUUAGU